rnacentral:rRNA from 1 species
CCUACGGGGGGCAGCAGUGGGGGAUAUUGCACAAUGGGGGGAACCCUGAUGCAGCGACGCCGCGUGGGUGAAGGAGUGCUUCGGCAUGUAAAGCCCUAUCGGCAGGGAAGAAGCAAGACGGUACCUGACUAAGAAGCCCCGGCUAACUACGUGCCAGCAGCCGCGGUAAUACGUAGGGGGCGAGCGUUAUCCGGAUUCACUGGGUGUAAAGGGAGCGUAGACGGCCAUGCAAGCCAGGGGUGAAAGCCCGGGGCCCAACCCCGGGACUGCCCUUGGAACUGUGCGGCUAGAGUGCGGGAGGGGCAGGCGGAAUUCCUGGUGUAGCGGUGAAAUGCGUAGAUAUCAGAAGGAACACCGGCGGCGAAGGCGGCCUGCUGGACUGCGACUGACGUUGAGACUCGAAAGCGUGGGGAGCGAACAGGAUUAGAUACCCUUGUAGUC